UUUGCUCUAAGAGAUUCUACGUGUCACCAAAUGGUUGGGCGAGGAGAUAAUAUUUUUUUUGAUGGGCGACUGGUUUUUUUUCUUCCUCUUCCUCUCUCUGUCUCUCUCUCUCGAACUCGCGAAUUGACAAUCGAAGGAGAUGAAAUCAAAGGAGAUGGAAUCAGAGGAGAUUCGGGUCGGAGGAGAUGUGAAUCGGAGGACAUUGAAUCAGCAGAGGGUUGAAGGUGGCAUUCCACCACUCGUUGAGCUUCUAAAUUUUCACUGAAAUAAAGUACAGAGGGCUACUGCAGGGGCCUUGCGAACAGUUUCUUUUAGAAACGACGAGAACAAGAUCCAAAUUGUGCAGUUGAAUGCUUUGCCCACGCUUGUAUUGAUGCUUCAAUCUUCAGAUUCUUCUGUGCACGGUGAAGUUGUUAGUUCUUUAUCUUGCUUUGGAUUGUUGCAAUCGGUUUGCUUUGUUUCAGUUCCUUCUAAUCUACUGUGCACGGUGCACAUUGGCCAGAGAAUUGACAUUACACCCCUGAUUAAGAUGCUUGAAUCAUCAGAUGAGGUUAUAAGUUUAGUUGUGACAGAGAAAACUGUGAGUUAUAAGUUUUGUGUGUCUAAAUAACUGUGUGGGGCAUAAAAACUACAUCAGCUUUGUGUGUCUUAUGGCGGCAAGCUUUUUAUGGCUUAUAGCUGAAUUUGGAGUUGGUGUUGCUGUAUUUGUUCGAUGUUUCGUGGACCAAAAUGCAAUGGAACAUCUUAUAACUGAAAAGCUUGGGCUUGGUUUCUCCCGUCCUCCAUUUGCAGCUGUUGUGGUUGUUUGUACAACUCUCUCGUUCCUUCCUUUGAUCGGUUUUUUCGUAUGUUCUGUUCUAACGAACUGGAUUGGUUUGAAAUUAUGGAAGAUUAAUCUGAUUACUGGACCUGUUUUGCAAUCAUAUAGAGAUUUAUGAGAUACUUGUUUCAGUUGCAAGAAUUGGAUUCGAAGAUGUAGCCAUGGAUUCUUCUGGAACUGAUUCGGCUAAAGAAUUGCUUGUUGGUUUGGAUUCAACUACUGAGGAAGAGUAUGCAACACAGUCAAAGCUACUUAAAGAGUUCAUCAAUAUUCCCAGCAUUGACAAAGCUUCUUAGGCGAGGCAUUCCCUCUACCUGUUUACCUCUCUCUCUCUUACCCAUUACCAAUUAAGUUUCUCCCCUUUUUUGCAGGUCAAGUGUGCAGAACUCUUUCCCUCAAUCAUUGCAGCAUUUAAAAUACUUGCAGUGAUCUCUUCACGAAUGGGAGGUACCCAUGAGGGUGCAUUACAUUUGAUCGAAGGAGGAGGAGAAGUCGAUUCCGAAUAGUCUUGUCUAUUAGCCGUGCAAGGGGAGGGGCGGAGAUGGGGUCUUCACCGUGUUUGCGGUUAUUACGCCCUCUCCAUACGGAGUGGAUUGUCGUCUGGAAAAAAUACCUCAGAAAAAGCAGAGAGUGUUGGUCAAGUGUUGUCUGAAAGAAGCGUCCGAAGUUGAUCCCAAGUAGAAGUAGAGUGCCUCCAAAGGAACCCAGCUGUGAGUUGCGUCCAAAUUUGGUGAGAGUAGGGACAUUGGAAAAAUAAGUGGUUCCUUGUUUGCAGCGGGUCUUGACAGAAGACGCAAGCUGAAUCAACAUGCCUGUUCCAUUUCAACAUUCUGUCAACUGUAGAGAGUUUAUUGUGCAUUCCUAACCAUGUUAUAAACGCAAACUUUGGUGUGGCUUGGGAAAACCACACUCCUUUCUCCCAAUCGAAAACUGGUUGCUCCACUCGGAUGAGCUUCCAGAUGUCACAUGUCAGGAAUUUUUGUUUAAAGCCAGUUCGAGACUUCCAUAGGUUCACAUCUGCCAGAUCAGGUUGUCGUUGUGACUUUGCUGUUGCAAUCUCUGCUUCAACUUGGUUUAGAAUCUAAAGCCUAUGUCUUCUGCUUCUAUGAUUGGUAAAGAAUGUUUCAAUUGUUGCUGUUUUCAUAAUCCCCAGGUCUAUACACCCUCUAUUUCCGAGAACAUCAGCCAGCGUUCCCAUUGGAGACCAUCUGUCGUACCUGAAAGAAGUGCUCUGUUCAUUUUUGAUAUCCAUUUGAUGGAAGUUCUUUGCCACUUCCCUCAACUUGAGGAGUUUUCGACACAUCCAGGAUCCUUGAUAAGAUGUUGCUUUCAAAUCCCAAAAAGAAUCUUGACGGAUAAGAUAGGUAUGAACCCACUGUCCCCAUAAUGAUUUCUUAGCAGCUAGCAAUCGCCAAAUGAGCUUAAGACCACAGACUGUGUUUGUUUCCUUGAGUGGUCUGAGACCUAGACUACCCUCGCUUUUGGGAAGACAAUCGACCUGCCAAGAAACCUUCGCCUUAUGUAUAUUCAGAUUUGGCCCACUCCAGAGAGGAAAGCGGAGCAGAGCCCUUCAAUCUCCUUCAUACACUUUCCCUGUAACCGAAAAGCAGAGGACCAGAAGUUAACAAUGCUCAUAAGAACUGAUGGUAUGGGUUGCAGAUGACCUCCAUAUGAUAAGAAUCUGCUUGUCCAAGUACUAAAUCUGUUCCUAACCUUUUCAACCAGAGGUAGGUAGUCAUUACUUGUCAUUGCUUUUGGUUAUGAGAGGCAAACCAAGGUAACGCAAGGGUAGCAUACCCACCGCAAACGGGAAGUUUUCUCUGAUCUCUUCCUGUACUCUUUGUGACAUCCCAGCCAUGUAUAAGGUAGAUUGCUUUAGACAUU